CAUCAACAUUGCGUGCAGCAGCAACCACAGCCUCCCAGACACUGUUCAGAGAGGUGUACUGUUUUCCCUCCUUGUAAAUCUCACAUUUGAUGAUGGACCACAGGUUCUCAAUGGGGUUCAGAUCAGGUGAACAAGGAGGCCAUGUCAUUAGAUUUCCUUCUUUUAUACCCUUUCUUGCCAGCCACGCUGUGGAGUACUUGGACGCGUGUGAUGGAGAAUUGUCCUGCAUGAAAAUCAUGUUUUUCUUGAAGGAUGCAGACUUCUUCCUGUACCACUGCUUGAAGAAGGUGUCUUCCAGGAACUGGCAGUAGGACUGGGAGUUGAGCUUGACUCCAUCCUCAACCCGAAAAGGCCCCACAAGCUCAUCUUUGAUGAUACCAGCCCAAACCAGUACUCCACCUCCACCUUGCUGGCGUCUGAGUCGGAC